rnacentral:misc_RNA from 1 species
UCCGAGUUGACCCCGGCAGUCUCCUGCGAGUCCCCGCCAUUACGCGCUGGCAACACAGGACAAGGGUUGCGCUCGUUGCGGGACUUAACCCAACAUCUCACGACACGAGCUGACGGCAGCCAUGCACCACCUGUGCACGAGCCCCGAAGGGCUGCCGUAUUUCUACGACAUUCCCGUGCAUGUCAAGCCUAGGUAAAGUUCUUCGCGUUGCGUCGAAUUAAGCCACAUGCUCCGCCGCUUGUGCGGGUCCCCGUCAAUUCCUUUGAGUUUUAGCCUUGCGGCCGUACUCCCCAGGCGGAGUGCUUAAUUCGUUAGCUGCGGCACAGAGAGGGUUGAAGACCUCCCCACACCUAGCACUCAACGUUUACGGCUGGGACUAC